UCCUGUAUAGCUCAGUUGUUAAGAGUGUGGUGCUGAAAACACCAAGGUUACAGGUUGGAUCCUGCAUUGCAGGGG